ACGUGACACUCCUAAUAACGUAAUAACAAAGCCCCUAAAACCCUAAGUGAUACUCACUCACGCAGCGCCUCCCUCAGUCCCUCCCUCACCCUUAUUCUCAGAAUCUCCGUUCUCCUCCAUAGCGCCUCCCUCCCUCCAUCCGUAGAGUCGUAGAUCGUAGUGCGUCCCUCCUCCUCCUCCAUCUGCGACGCUGUUCUUCUGCCCUGCCAUCCUUCUCAUGCAAUCCACGGCGGUGGCGCGUUCCUCGUCGCCAAGUCGCGAGUCCCUACCGCGGCGCUCUUCUCCGUCAAAGAAGCAGCAGCAGUUCUAUCACUAUCAACAGGAAUGGAAGAGUAAAGGACAUCAUUCUGAAGCGGAAGAUCGGAAAUGGGUCGUUCUCGGCGGUGUGGAGGGCGAGCACAGAGGCACCGACGAAGAGGUGGCAGUGAAACAGGUCUUCCUCUCCAAACUCAUCCCCCGCCUUAAGUCAUCGAUCCACUGCGAGCUCAAUUUCUUGUCCUCCGUCAACCACCCCAACAUCGUUCGCCUCCUUGAUUUCUUCCAGUAUGAAUGUAUGAUGGAUGUGCGUACUUGGUGAUGGAGUUCUGUGCUGGAGGGAACCUUGCUUCUUAUAUCCGAUCCCAUGGGAGAGUUCAACAAUAAACUGCCCGAAGAUUCAUGCAGCAGCUUGGUUCUGGUAUGAAAAUAUUACAAAGUCAUGGUAUCAUUCAUAGAGACUUGAAACCAAAGGUAAAGCUAAAAUGAAAAAUGUAUGUGACGUUGUUGCUACUUUGGUUUGAGAUGCCUAUUACUACAUUAACAUUUAUGUGAAGUAAAUACUUACUUCGGUUGGUGGAUUGGGAGGGCCAUUAGUAAAUACUUACUUUAGGAAAUGUUGUAUUGAGAGACAUUGGUGGAUAUAUUCAAGAAAAGGUGUGUUAUUAAUUGUAUGCAGUUAGAGCACCCCAUCAAUGAAAAAGAGAUCAAGUAAGUCACUUUAAUAAUAUCUUCUAAAUUCUCCCUCUUUUAAAUCCUUUUAGAUACUAGUACGUAUUUCUUUUCAUGUAGCUCAACUCAAGAAUAGCAUAUACUGAAGCUUACUCGAAUCAUAAGUUGUGCCCUCUUUCCAAGAUUCAGGUAGGUGCCCAAAACUAUGACGAUCAUUUUGGAAUUUCGACCAGCCCAAAUGGAAAGUUCCAUGUGUUUUUAUCUGCGAAAAGUGCUGUGGAUUCAGGAGUGUACAAUGCUACAAACUCACUACAUAGAAUUGAUUGGCCAACCUGUGGAAAACUCACUACAAACUGCAUCAUGAUAAGUGUAUAAGGUUGAUAUGGUUGUUACUGAUGGGAGCAGAAUUUUGGGACUUGGAGAUUGGAGUUCAUGGAAAUGGCAAUCCAUUGGGAAGCUUGAUCUGUAUGUUGCAGCUGCUGGGAUAAAUCCUAAAGGAGAGUUCGCACCCUGGGAUGAUUCCGUCGCCGUGAAUGACAUUGUUGCUGGUCUAAAAGGAUUCAGAGAUGAUGAUGUGAAGCCAUUUUCUUCUGGUUUGAAUUCAGCUGAGACACAGGUU